CGGGAUGUGGCUCAGCCUGGUAGAGCACUGCGUUCGGGACGCAGGGGCCGCUGGUUCAAAUCCAGUCAUCCCGACCA
rnacentral:tRNA from 1 species